CCCCCCCUCCCCCCCGCCUUCCUCCCCCUCCCGCGAUUCCCACCGUCGCCACCCCCACCCACCACUGCCGACCUCAUCUCUGCCACGCACCCUCUCCCCGCGCCUUCAUCCCCCAGAUCCACCAGUCUGCUUCUCGGCCAUGGCGUCACGGUCGGUUUUCUCGCCGGUGCACGCGUGCAUGCUUUGAUGCGCGCCGCUCCGUCGAGCUGGCCGGACCGUGGCGCGCGUGUGGACCGUGUAUCCGCCACCAAAUCUCCCCCCCGCUCCCGAAUCAAAUCCCCCAAAUCUCUCCUCCGCUCCUAAAUCAAAUCCCCAUCACCUCCGCCACCACCCCACCUACUCCCACCGCCGCCGCGAGCCACGAGCGCGAGCGGGGCGAUGGCCAAUCCUCCGCUUCUCCUCGACGUCCCCACUCCAUUCGUUGUGCACGCCCUAGGACGACGGCGGCCGACAAAUCUAGGGCCGCGUGGUUGGUGCAGGAUCCGCGUCGGCGGGCGGCGACGGAAACACAUGGCGCACUGGGUGGACAACGACUCCGGCGUCCGGCGUCGACAAGUACAACAUCCUCUCCCGCUUCACCUGCAAUGCGUUCUACCUCGACUCCAAGUCCACCAUCGGCGUCGAGUUCGCCACCCGCACCCUCCUCGCGACAAAGUGCGGCUGGACGAACGAGGCUGCUAUUCUGCCUUGAUCUGCACACAAAGAGUUCCUGGACCUGACCUGAAGCAAGGAUACCUGCGGCUGCAAGCCAACAAUGUCUGAAGACAGGCUCGUCCCUGGACCAGAUGUUCAAGUACAGCCCCAUCCACUGCAUCGACCUAGAGUCAAGUGAAUGGAGCUUGUGUUGUUGGUAGAACUCCAUUGAUGACUUCUUCCUAUGUUGAAGAGCAUGUUCCGUGGUAUCCAAGAGUAGAUAGAUUUACAUUGGCAGAGCGUUUUAUUUGUCGAUCGCAAUGUUUGUGAUUGUGUGGAAUAUUGUAUGGUUAUCUACGUGAAGUUUGAAGUUCCUGGGCAUGCAAUAUUUGAUGGUCAAACAGGUUGUUGUGAUGUGAACGAGUGUAUGGAGUUUCACAUGUUUUGUUCUGUACAUAAUAUAUUGUAAUAAACCUAUUUUGGUUGUUAUUUGAAAAUUUUCAUAUUCUUA